rnacentral:rRNA from 1 species
UAGGGAAUUUUUCACAAUGAGCGACAGUUGNNGGNGNAUGCCGCGUGAACGAUGAAGGUCUUUAAGAUUGGAAGGUUCUUUUAUUUGGGAAGAUGGCUUUAGNNGGUNNNGCUAGAGUGUGACUGUACCAUUUUGAAUAANUGCGNUAANUAGGGCCAGCAGUCGGGNAAUACAUAGGUCGCAAGCGUUAUCCGGAUUAUUGGGCGUAAGCANGCGNAGGGGAUUGAAAGCUGGUGUUNAGGCAGNGCUUNACAGGUGGAUGCUUGAAANANUAAUCUAGAGGUGGNAGGGAGUUUGGAAUUUAUGGGGAGCGGGAAAUGGGUAGAUAUAUGAGGAAACCAGGGCGAAGGCGAAAAUUAGGGCAUAACUGACGCUUAGGCUGGAAAGUGUGGGGGGGNAAUAGGAUUAGAUACCCAAUAGGCCACAACCGUAAACAAAAUACUAGCUGUCGGGGCGAUCCCCUCGGUAUGGAGGUAAACACAUUUAAGAUCUUGGCCUGGGGUAGGAAUUUUCCCAAGAAUGG